rnacentral:tRNA from 1 species
UCCGAGAUCGUCUAAUGGUAGGACAUGGGCCUUUGAAGCCCAGUAUCUUGGUUCGAAUCCAAGUCUCGGAGCCU